CGUAACAAGGUCUCCGUUGGUGAACCAGCGGAGGGAUCAUUACCGAGUUUACAACUCCCAAACCCCAAUGUGAACGUUACCAAUCUGUUGCCUCGGCGGGAUUCUCUUGCCCCGGGCGCGUCGCAGCCCCGGAUCCCAUGGCGCCCGCCGGAGGACCAACUCCAAACUCUUUUUUUCUCUCCGUCGCGGCUCCCGUCGCGGCUCUGUUUUAUUUUUGCUCUGAGCCUUUCUCGGCGACCCUAGCGGGCGUCUCGAAAAUGAAUCAAAACUUUCAACAACGGAUCUCUUGGUUCUGGCAUCGAUGAAGAACGCAGCGAAAUGCGAUAAGUAAUGUGAAUUGCAGAAUUCAGUGAAUCAUCGAAUCUUUGAACGCACAUUGCGCCCGCCAGUAUUCUGGCGGGCAUGCCUGUCCGAGCGUCAUUUCAACCCUCGAACCCCUCCGGGGGGUCGGCGUUGGGGAUCGGCCCCUCACCGGGCCGCCCCCGAAAUACAGUGGCGGUCUCGCCGCAGCCUCUCCUGCGCAGUAGUUUGCACACUCGCACCGGGAGCGCGGCGCGGCCACAGCCGUAAAACACCCCAAACUUCUGAAAUGUUGACCUCGGAUCAGGUAGGAAUACCCGCUGAACUUAAGCAUAUCAAUAAGCCGGAGGAAGC
rnacentral:rRNA from 1 species